rnacentral:misc_RNA from 1 species
AAAAUUUCAUGAUAAUUUUUACGAUUUUGAAUAGAAAAGAAAGCCUUAAUGGCCAAGGAAACUUUCCGUUUUUCCAUAAUAUAAUGCCCCUUCAUGUUGUUGGAAAACUCCCUAGGUUUCUAUCCAUAGAUCUGUCAUCAUACGUGCGAGUACAAUGCAGAUAAUUACAUGCAAGUAUAGAGUAAUUUUUUGCAGCACGUAACUAGUAGUUGUAGGUCUUGUUCAAAAAAUAAAAUAGAAUAAGAGGUAUUGUCAUGUGGCAUCUAAUAAAAAUUUUAAUUAAAAGUUGAAGAAAAUUAAGUAAAAAAUUAUGCCAAUUUGAA